CACCUCCACUCUAUCUCUCUCAAUCUAGUAGAAACUAGAAGAUCUAUUUCUACUUUACAUUGGAUGCUAAGCCUAAAAAGAAAUAUUAUUUAGAGAAGAGGUUUUCCUUCGAGGGCACCCCUCAAUCUCUAUGAUAAUUUCUUGUCUCCUCCAGGGGCCAAAGGGGGUCUCCUUAUAUAGUCCUCCCCUUCUAUGCGUUUUUGGGUCGAUAGGCGAGGUGGUACUAUGUUAUUCUGGAUCCAAUAGGUCGGUGGAACGUCGUGUGCGAAGAGAGUCCGGAACGGAAUCCAGAGGUGGGCGGGCGCCCAGGUCCUCAGGGCGGGCGCCCUGAGCCUGGCCCCGUUUCGCCUCCGCUUCGGUCUCGUGGCUUCUGGAGUCUUCUAGAUGGUAGAAAAUUGCGCGGUGCGUUGAUAUCUCUAUGUAAUCCUGACAUGUGGGCCUUUCUUCCUUAUUUCCUAAUAACCCCCUGCAGAAAUAGACAAGCACCAAAACUCGUAGAAUUCUAUCAGAUAAAACCCUAAGUCUAGGUGUUGGUUGCAUUUGGAUCCUUUUCUUUAUUUAUUUGAUAAUUAAAUUUGAUACUUAAGGACCGUCAACAAACUCCCCCAAGCUUACCCCUUGCUCGUCCCUGAGCAAGGAUAGACUCAGCUAUGGAUCAUAAGUUGUUGCAAUAUUAUUAAAAAAUUGACGGUACACAUGCUUUUUAAAUAAGAUCUCAUCUCUGAGUAAGAGUAAACUGUCAAGACUUAAAACUUACUUACUUUACCUUCACCAUGGGACUUGUAACUGUCACUUCUGUCUUGAGUGGUUAAAAGAUAGAACACUCUAGCCAAGUGCCAUGUCUCUUAUUCUUGAUCAGCUAUAGCUCUGGGGUUUUUUGCAGAUUUUCAAAUAAAACUCAGAAAUUCCUUGUAUGAUUCUCUCAGGUCUCUCUUUUGUGGUAUUUUUGGAUCCUUACCAAGGCAGUGAUGGUAUAUGCCUUCUCUCAAGAUAUGUGGUAUUUGUGGUAUGAGGCAUAGUGACAUUGCCUUCUCUCUCACCCUACUCUAAUAAGGCUUUAAUAUCUGGAGCUCAUAGGUGGGAGAUAAAGUAUACAUACUUACAAGACAUGUAUUUAUAGUCAAACCAUGGAUCCAAAGAAACAAAUCAAUAAGACAAAUCAAGAUGUGCAUGUGUGGCGAAUAAAUGAUGUAUGGUGAUGAUGGUGAUAACAAUGGUGGAAGUAAUGGUGGUGGAAGUCUAAAUCUACUUUGCUCUUUGAGGGGAUACAUACCUUCCUUGCUUUUGAAACUUUAUGAGGAGAAUGAGAUGCUCUUCUUUUUUUCUCUCAGGUGGGUAUCUUGCACCCCUAAUUCUACUGUCGGACACUUGUCCAUUUUUACCUCUCGUCUCACUUUUUCUUUUCUUUCGAGGUUCCGAGCACUUGCUCCUUUUUAUUUCCUCGUAUCUCUUUUUUUUUCUUUUUAUUUUCAGAGCAUUCAUCUCUUGAGAUAAUAUAGCAAGUGGUAGUAACAAGAUAACUUGAGCAUUUAUUUCACAAGGGGAAAACAGAAAUAUUUUUGGUUAUUCUCUCCCGGAUUAGGAGUAGAAUAUUUUUGGGUGAUUCUGGAGAUGGAACGGGUGGAUAUAUAUGGAUGGUACUUCCGGAGUAGAAGUAGCAUAUAUGAGUGAACGUGCAAGUGAAAUCUUGAUUUAACCAUAUGACAAGCUCCUAAGGGUCUACACAGCUUGACCACACUCAAUGCUCAUAAGCAGUAAAUAAUAAAUGUGUGGCUCAAAGUCUAACAAGCAUGUAUAUAUGGCUGUGGUAGGAAUUUAAACUCUCAUCAUACAAGAACUCAUCAUGCAACAUUUUAAAGAUUUUUAAAGAUAAAAUUCUCCAGAAUUCUAGCAUCUCUAGGAACAGAUAAACAUCAGCUCAACCUUCCCAUAUCGUAUUCGUUAACAACUUAGACUUCAGAUCAAGUUUUCAUCCCACAAGUUUAGGUCUAGAGCAAGUUUUAAAUUAUAACAGUUAUAUCUAAACUUGAGAGAGAACAUAAAAUUUGCAAAUUAGGCAGAGCAACUAUUUAUCAUAUCCAUGCUUAAGUUUUAUUUAGAUACAGAUUGGCAUAACUACUUUAUUUAUUUAUUAAACACACUAAGCAAAAGACAUAUAUAUAAGCAUAAAAUCUUUAUUUGGUUUUCCAUAGUUUAUGUGUAUUUAUAUUCUAAAAUAAUAUAAGUAUAAAGAUAGAUAGAAAUACUUAUCGAGAUAAAUGGGGGUGCUCUCCCCCAAGCUGAAUUUUGACGUAAUUUCUCUUGAUGUAGCUAGCAGGUGGCAGAGGUGUAUUUGAAAGUCAGCAGCAUUCUGACAGCGAUUAGAAUGUCCUCCGUCUGCUAGUCUUCUUGAUUCUUAAAUUCUGUGGAGCUCAAAUAGACAACAUAGCUUGUGGAACUGAUUAAGUGUUAGCAUAAAUAUCUAGCCUUUAUCAUGUUAAGACUCCUUAAUAAUUGUUACUCCCUGUUUUUAUAUUUUUGUCUUUAUAAAGCAGAAAGGAUAUUUAUUUUUAUGCCACCACAGUGAAUGUACUUAUGGGUUUUAUGCCACUCGUCUACUCACAUGGGGCUUACAAUUUUUUUCACAUUUUUAUUUAUUUUUUUUUAAGAUAGUGUGAAGAUGAUUAACUAAGCAAACUAUAAUUGAAUAAUUAAAAGGAAAAGGAUAACUACCAAGUUUACCUCUUGGCAAGGCGUUCGGUGUUUUUAAGUCCUCCGAAUGGGACUCCUUGUGUUUUCAGUCGUCCUGGGAUUCACUGGGUGGCGUAGUCGGUGGUUCCGGCGGCGUCUCCUCUUCGUGUAUAACUAUCUUCUCUUGCCACACCUGACUCGGUGCUACGGUCUCCUCAGGAUAGUUGUAUUCAAGCUGUAUGUCUUCAGUCCUUAUCACUUCUCCUUCGUAGUCUACCCAUCCGUCCUUGAUGAUUUGCCUCCUCUAGUUGCGGUUGCGUUGUCUUCUUCUUGUCCUGACCUGCUUAGAAUCUUCAACUAUAUAGUUAGAAUCAUUAAAGUAGUGACGUACCUUCUCAGAGGGGAAGUGCAUGUGGACUUCUCCGGGUCCAAUAUAGAUGAUGGCUUUGAUAGUGUUUGAGGAACGGUCGUCCAAGGAUGGUAGGUAGAUCGUACUCGUCUUCUCCCAUGUCAAUGUUCUGAAAAUCAUCUGGAACUGAAUAUAUAUUGGUUGUAGGGGCAUGGUUCCAUGCAGGAGCUGAUAAGUGACUGCGGUCAUUAUGUUGACGUCAGAUCCGGUGUCGUAGAGUGUCUUCUUAAAAAGAGUAUCCAUUGUUUGUGCAUUCGAUUCUUGGAACACCAGGGUCGUCCUUCUUGAUCAAGAAAGGUGACUUGAGUCGACGAUCUUGACCUCCUUGAGCUGCAGUGACCAUCUUAGUUGACUCGGUCCACAUUUGCUUGUUCCUGUUCCUCUUGUUGGUCCUCUUCCUUGGUUCAUGUCGGGGUUGCUCUUAAGUUUGUGUAGUCUUGUUCUUGAAGGAAAGCCUCCUUCUUCCCCUAGAUGUAGAAACUGAUCUUGGCAGCAUUAGUAUAGAUGACAGCUCUGGUGUUUAGGAAUGGCCUCCCUAAGAUGAUGGGUGCCCUCUCCUCAGUACCAGUCUCUAUCACCACGACGUUUGCUGGAGCGUACAAGGUACCAACUCGGACACAGAGGUUCUUCAAUAUUUCCUUUGGGAAACUAAGUGUCUGAUCUCCAUUGUGUUUGUGCUCGUAGAUCCCGGUUCUUCACUUGGUGGAAUCUAGGAGUUGUAAAACUCCUCCAUAUUUUGUUUGAAGUGUACCUAUUCAUAGAGACAAGGCAGAGAUCAAGUGCAUGGGCCCUGUUGGUGGAAAACACCAACAGAACCAAAAGUGUAUUUGUUCUUCUCUAACCUUAAGCAUAGUGAGCAAGACAAAGUUGAUGGAUCGUGAGUGUAGUAUUUGAAACAUUUGUCAGAUCAGAUUGCUUGACCUAAUGGAAAGAUAAUCUAUCUAUAUUUAUGUUUUGUUUAUAUCUUCCAAAGAUUGAAUGUGCAACAUAUUAGCUUAUAUGAUUAGGAGUGUGGGAUCAUGAAGGUAGUACUAAGAACAAAGAUUAAAGGACUAAACAUGUUGAAUUAAUUGGGUUGAUUAAUUUGGAGCUACAAAUCAUACAUGUUUGUCUCUUUAUUUUAUGUGAACGCUAGAACCAAGGAGAAGCUUAUAAAAGUGAUAGUCAAGUACCUUAAAAUGUUACCUUACUUGAAGAGUGAUGGUACAGUAUCACCUUGUGGAAGCUUUCCUUUCUUAGCGGUUGUGCAUCGUGUUUGUGGCACCCUCCAUGAAUCAUCUCUUUAUGAUGAAUGAGCUAUGUCCUUCUUGUGCAAAUUGUUAAACUUCAUGUGUCUCCUUUAUCUCCAAUGAGUUUGUAUCUCAGGACUUCUCAGGUUGAUAUUGAAAGUUUUCCUGCAGGGGUUAGUCCAACUAAAUAUCCCAUAUCUACUAUAGCAUACUAUCGGCUCAAAAAUCAACCUAGACACCAUGUCUAAUUUGAUUUAGGAGGGCAUUUUAACCUAAGCACCAUGCUUAAUUUAAAAAUCCUUUGGAAGUAAGAUCAUCAUUCCUAAACUAAGCACCAUGCUUGAUUUAAGAGAUAAAUGAAACUACUCCAAACCUAGACAUAUACUAAAGCAAAUAAAGGUAGCAUAAGAGCAUUUAUAGCGAUCUACUCAAGUGGAGGUGAAGUAGUGUAAUUAGUACUUAACAAAUUGAGCAUCUCUCAAAGGUAGGGACAACCAACGUAGCAACAUGGCAAAGGAUGUUUUUAUGUAAAGUACUCCCCCAAGCUUGAAUUUUGCAAAAUUCAAGUUUGGUUGAAUUUAAUUCAAUGUUGUGUGACGGUUGGUUGGACAUACCUUGUGCUUGUCAUUCAUCCGAUCUUCUUGCUCCAAUCCUGGAAAGGUUAGUGACAAGAAUACCCGAAGGAAUAUUUCUACAAUUAUCUUUAUAUGCUCAAUACACAAGGCAAUGUUGCAAAUAAUUAGAAGUGCUUGUUUUAGGACACUAAGCUUGUCCUUGGGAAACCAUCAAUUAACUCAACGAGAUCUGCAAUAUUUAUUAUAGACAUAUGCAUUGUAACACCCUAAAAAUUUGCAUCUUUGGAAAUAGGUCUAAAAUGAUUUAAUUAGGUGUUUUUGUGCUCAUAAAAACAUAGUAAAAAUGAAAAUUUUCCUUAAAUUAAAAUUCAUCAUAGGGUUUAGCAACAAUGUUGUGUAUACAUGCUGACGCAUAAGGUUUAAUGUGAUGUUUCCUUGUUGCUCUUUGUGUGGUGAUAGUAAGAAAAGUAUUUAAAAUACAUUUGGUAGAUUGAUCUUCCUUGACCAGUAAGUCUUUAUCUUUAUCUACAAUCAAAAUCCUUGUUUCCCAGCUCAAGUUUCUAUUGAGCUUUCUAAAAACAUUUCUUUGUAAUCAAAUCAUUCCUUUCAGUUCCUCGCCCAUCAAUCAAUCUCUAAAAAUUUACAAUGAAUUAUCUCAGCCUUUUCCUAAAACUUAUUCCUAAUUUGCUAAUCUAGUUUUUAGACGCUCCAAAUUAUCUCAUCAUGAACUCCAAAUACCUUAUUUGGAUUUCUCAUGUUCCAUAAUGUCUCAGGUAACUCUCCUCGAAUUUUUAGAACUUUUCAAGUAUUUUUCUAGCUUAAAAAGUAAUUCUAGAUUUUUUCUCAAAUUACUUUAAUACUGAAAUUAACUAAUUCCAAAAGUAAUUAAUCCUAAACCUAAUGCAACUCGGCCACGUAUGAUGCAUAUAAAUAUACGUUGGUCACCUCCGUCACCUAAUGUUCGUGAAUAUGUAAACCUAGUCACAAGCCGUCCCUCGCCUCUCGCCGCCGGCCGCCCCUACACACAGCCUCGCACACCCGUGCCGCCGCCGUUGUCGUCGCUGCCCUCCACUGGAGAAUCCAUAGGUGUCGCUUCGCUGAGACAAGACAGAUGCCCUUCCUUCGCCUGCACGUGUAGCUGCAGUCCAGAUGACAUGUGCCGAUUGUCAUGGAUGCCAUCUGCCUUAUACGGAUGUUCCUGCACCAAGCUAAAGUAGCGGCCCGCCGUGCCAUGACGAUGACAUGAGCCAAGCUAGUCACCACACCACUGAUCGGCAAAGGGAACAGGAACCGUUCACCGGAAACAAAGAGCGAACUGCUUUUCAUGCCCAAGGUGCAUAUGUAACCAUACCUUUUCUUAGAUCGAUCUCCGAUUUCGUUCGCUAUGACAAUACUUUGCAGAUUGAUCUUGCAUGUUUAGCAACCUGUUGCCCAUCCACCCUUCAAUCAAUCCCUUUGACUUCAUCCAAUUCUUGGUCUUAUGUUUGUUUCAUCUAUCUCCUGUCCAGGACUGGGAGGGAUCGUUAGCAAGUCCCAUUCAUGGUUUGCUUAAGCAGACUGUAAGAACAUCUCCCUACCGGCUCUAUCGAACAUUGAAUUUAGGCCUGCAGGCUUACUAGCUGAGCGUCACCAGCACGCCCGUUCUGCCACUACGAAACUGCAUACUGCCAUGCAAAGGAUUCAGGUAAGCCACAGGCAUGUUACGUGGCCUUGACCACCAUCUUAUAUUAGUUUAUAAUUCUGUUUGUUCCUCGUCCUUAUUUGCCAUAUCAAAUAUCUGAAUACCUUUCAUGGUCCUCUCCUUUCUCUCAUAAAAACCUGUACCCUUAUAAUCUCAUCAAUUGAACUACCGAAUAUGUAACUCAUGUUCUCCUUGCUUGUUAUUCACUAAAGCUAACAUGUUCAUGUCUUUUAUAUCCAUAGCUCAAAUUCCACUAGUCCUUGCCCAUUAGUUUUGUAGCGGCGAAAUCCACCUGUUAGUAUCAAUGAUCGUCCUAUUAUAUGGCCAUGAAUUUUAUAAUUUGAUUAAUAUGCAUGCAACUAGUUUUUAUAAUAAAAGCAACAUAUGCUAUUUUCCAAAUAAAUUUUAACAUGUUUAAUUACUAACAUAAAUAUAUUUCUAAAAUAGAAUCCGCUUAGUUUAAAUACACGAUAUAUACAAUUUUAUUGGAUGUUCUCACAUGUUUAUUUCUUUUGCAAAGUAAAAGCAGCCGAGUGCGCGUACUCUACAACUUAGUUAGCUUUCAUGACAUCAAGAUGACCACAUGAUGACAUAGAUAUGUUUUGUGGCCGCUUUUCCUUAAAAAAUAAUUCUAGAAACACAAAGUAAAUACUCUAGUUUCUUUAGAUCAUAACUUCUCCGUUUUAACUCCGAUUUUCGUGAACUUUACGUCUUUGAAAUCGUAGCGAUGCGUAGAAUCAUUUUAAAAACUUUUCAUACUAUUUUUAUAUGUUUGGUGUACUGUUCUAACUAUAGCUUGUUUGCUUCGUGUAUGAUUGUCUACUUUGGAAUGCGUGUUGUUGAUUGAUGUUCGGAAAUAGACGGUGAGCCGUACGUGGAUGAGCAAGACCAAGCUUUUGAAGACUAGCAGGCUCAGGAGAGCUUUGAUCAAGGCAAGUAUAACUGGGGACUAUCUUUGCUACCUAUACACAAUUAAUAUAGCAUUUAUCAUUUGCAUGUGUCCACCUUGAUGACCUUAGCAAAAUCAUAGAUGAUUGUUAUCCUGAAUUCCUUGAUUACCUAUUUGGAUAUGCAUUUGGGUAGUUCUUGCUAGUGCUUGAUUAAUAAUCCAUGAUCUUGUAACAUGAAUAUUUGAAUAUACAAUAAACAAUAAAAUAAGCUUUCUAGCAACUUGAAUAUAAAGGGUGGAAAGAACUCUGGCUUUUGCUGGAUUGAUCUUGACCCUCCAUAAGGACUUAUCCCUUGGCAAAAGCUGGGACAACUCGUACAACCAUGAGGGCUAUGUGGCUCUGGCUUUAGUCAAGUAUGAGUAAGCUUUUCUAGCUUGUUAGAGGUUACCCGAAAGGGCGGAGGGGCCGAACCGUUUUGGGUAUAGUGCGAGCCCCUGUCCCUAUGUGUAUAGGCUGCGCGUCAUUGUGCCAUUCGGAAGGGAGGUAUCUAUAUCUGCGCGCAAAGGAAACCUUGCGGCCCUAACAUGUUAGACGAACCUUUGAAAGGCUUCAUAGUGAUCCCUGCCGACCUCCCUAGGAAGGGGGUUAAGAGACUAGCUACCUCGGGCGAAAGGGUAAAUCAUGACUCAUGGGUAAAGAUGUACAACCUCUGCAGAGUGUUAAAUCUGGUAUACUAGCCGUGCCCACGGAUACGGGCGGCCCAGAAAACUGACGGAAUAGAUGGACACUGAUGAACAUGAAUAAUGAUAAUAAAUAAUGGUUUAUCAUGUUGUUUAUAUGUGUUAUUCUUAAUUCUUGUAUACAAUUGAUCAUGUGGUUAUGGGAUUAUUAGUGCUACCUUGAUAUUUGCUAUCCAAUGAUUAAAUAUGCUAUCCACUAUUAAAAGCUAAAUGCAGUCAAACUAGUGUCAGCUUUUUGAGCCUCGUGAACCCCUGGUUAUACUUGUUGAGUACGAUAUGUGCUCACUCUUGCAAUUCCCCCCACACCUCAGGAGAAGUUUUGGGCUUGUGAUCAACCAGUCAGUUGGAUCCUGUGGAGAGAAGUUAAUACCCGAAGGUUUAGAGUUGUCUAUCCGCUGUUUGAUGCUAAAGGUUAUCUCUUUUAUAUCAUGUACGUUAUAUAUUUAUGCAUUGUCUUUUGAUAUUACCCUUUAUUUGUAGCUAUAUGUGAGAUUUGACUUCUAAAACUCAUAUAUGGUGCAUAUCUGGUUUUGUCCUUAAAAUCGGGUAUUACAUGCAUCGACAACCGCUCUUUUAAAGCUUUUAUAAAUAGAAAAGAAGAGAGGGUUGGAGAUCUCAAAUGUGAUAAGGAUGGAGAGACUAAUUGAUUGGAGAGAUGUUUUAUAUGAGCAAGGACUGGGUAAGGUAUUUAUGAAAUAACUUCCAUGCUCACUGUUGUUUCUCUCAUUCUCAAACUCCAAGGAUGAUUCUUCAUGAAUGCUAAAAAUUCCUCUAGGAUUGUCUCUCAAGUUUGUUUUAUCUAUCCAUUCAAUGGUGAUAGCACAUGGAUUUUUAAUGCCCUCUAGCCAUUGAUGUUGCUCUUCUCGAUCCUCCUUCUUAUGCAUGGGAUGUCUAGAGAGAUUCAUAGGAUUAUCGGGAGGUUCAAGAGAAAGAGCAUAGUAGAAAUUAUUAAGCUCAAGGAUGGGUUGGAUAGCCGAAUCAUGGGAUUGAAAUGUUUGGAAAUUGGCUAUUAAAACUUCCUUUCCUUGUCUGGGAGAUGGUUCCUUCUCUAUCUCUAAGAUUUUUCUAUGAAGACUAGUGCAAGAAGGAUGUCCACAAAUGAAGACAUAUCUUCCUUUACUAAUAGAUAAAGAAAGAAGGACUCUACCAAAGGUUAUAUGAUUAAGACCAAUGUGAAAAUAUCCAGGAAAAACAUGGUCUUGUAGGGCUAGGUCUAAACCAAAAUUUAUAGAAAGAUUAACAGAUUCCCUAGGUGUAGCUAAAAGUGCAUUAUCUUCUUGAUUAAAAGAUAGGACCUCGGCUAUAGAAAAGGGUUGGUUUUGACCUAUUGCAAUCAACUCCGGACACAGAUCAUAAUUAGGGGCAGGACGUGUUGACUCCCAUGGCCCAUGGCUGGUCUCCGAAGGUGCAAAGAAUUUAAUAAUAGGUAUGGAAUUUGAGUUAUCCGUAAAGAUAAAAAUAAAAAGAUAAAAGAAUAAAAGUAUAAAAGUAUAAUACAAGAUAAUAGCAAGAUUCAAAGUUAUCUCAGCAAACCGUCUUUCUCCCCGGCAACGGCGCCAGAAAUGCUUGUUGAUAUUUGGUAACGCAAUUAGAAAAUGAUCCGCAAGCGCACGGAUAUCGGUGAGCAUUUCACCCGGGAGGUUAUCCAGAGUUAUCGUAUUUAUAUUUUUACCACUGGAAGAAAGGGUGCAUCUGACUAACCAAAUCUAUUACUACUAUCCCUUUAGGCUACAAAGAAUGUCUCUCGAUGUGAGUGAUGUAUAGAGAAGACUGCAACCGUAGUCUCGUUCUAACCUUGGUAAGUCUCGUUCUAACCUUGGUAAGGAUGAUCUACUGUUCUAUUGGGGAGGCUCACGGAAUCUAGACAACACAAAGGAUGUUCGACCCGCACCUAUAACCCUACCCGUCCUGCUAACGAGAUGUGAUCUGCAAAGGUAACUCGGAAUUGUCACGUUCCUCGCUACUACCACGGUCCAGCUAGUCAGGAGAUAUCUAUGAGUACCCUAGCCUAAACACCACGUUUACGCUAGCAAGUGAUUACUCUAAUACUCAACCCGAAGAGGAUUAAAGUAAACUCAUAAACCAAAGAACAAUAAAACAAGAACUUACUAGUAUUAGAAGUCGAAUUACUGAAGAAUCUUAGAAGCAAGCCUCGGGUUAGGAGACUUGAUCCUGCAGGUACAACUCGGAGUAGACACCGACAGGCCGGCCUUCCUCUGAUCCACACCUCCACUCUAUCUCUCUCAAUCUAGUAGAAACUAGAAGAUCUAUUUCUACUUUACAUUAGAUGCUAAGCCUAAAAAGAAAUAUUAUUUAGAGAAGAGGUUUUCCUUCGAGGGCACCCCUCAAUCUCUAUGAUAAUUUCUUGUCUCCUCAAGGGGCCAGAGGGGGUCUCCUUAUAUAGUCCUCCCCUUCUAUGCGUUUUUGGAUCGAUAGGCGAGGUGGUACUAUGUUAUUCUGGAUCCAAUAGGUCGGUGGAACGUUGUGUGCGAAGAGAGUCCGGAACGGAAUCCAGAGGUGGGCGGGCGCCCAGGGCCUGGCCCCGUUUCGCCUCUGCUUCGGUCUCGUGGCUUCUGGAGUCUUCUAGAUGGUAGAAAAUUGCGCGGUGCGUUGAUAUCUCUAUGUAAUCCUGACAUGUGGGCCUUUCUUCCUUAUUUCAUGAUAACCCCCUGCAGAAAUAGACAAACACCAAAACUCGUGGAAUUCUAUCAGAUAAAACCCUAAGUCUAGGUGUUGGUUGCAUUUGGAUCCUUUUCUUUAUUUAUUUGAUAGUUAAAUUUGAUACUUAAGGACCGUCAACAGUGGGUAUGAAAAAUACCCACGAUUAACCACCACAUCAGGCCCCCACCCCAACCGGUAAACACGUUUCUUAAGGCCCUAGCACGACAAUUGAUUAGUCAUGCAAUUGUGUUGCACUAAGAUGUCUCAUUUCUCACUUUGCAGUGAAUAAGAGUUCUGCGACAGCAUCAUUUGCAAGGUCACACUAUACUUGGGAUAACAACUUCGAUACAUUGCUAUGACAAAUUCUCAUUACCUUUUGCAUUGCUAUAUGUCUGUAACCUUUGCCAUCAAUAUAUUUAUGUAACAUAAAUUUAUACAUUACUCUAAGCUGCUUUGUAGUCCACAAAUAAAACAGAUAUAUAUUAUAACUCCAUCUAUACUUACCAUCGCGCGCAGGGGUGCGCGAUUUCUACUAGUAGCCCACAAUCUCCGACCUAAGUGAAUUAUUUGAUUUAUGGAGGCACACACAGUUCUUGCAUGUAGAUUCAAUGGAGGAAGACGAGACAAUCUGGAUACUUGAAAGUUCAUGUGGAGAACACAUGUGGAAAACACAUGAUCCAUGAGUUAUCUAUAACUAGCAUGGGACAGAGAGAGAGAGAGAAGUGUAGAGAGACACAUGUGUACUACAGAUAAAAGGACCUCGAUCACUAUUCAACCACUAGUUCAUGAAAAUAUACAUACAUAUAAUCCCUUAUUGCCUAUACAUCAUCCCUCUCUCUUUCUCAUUGCACAUGUAUAUUUGUAGAUUUUUAAUGAUCCAGUAGAAUCUUUGUUGACAAUGUUGUUAAUUAAUUGCAUGUUCUGCAGAGACUGUAAAACAUCUUUCCAUCAUAGCCAAUAUUAAUUCACCCUCCUGUCACAUUUUGCUUUUGCAUCACUUGCCCCAUUAAACCUACUGACCAAUCUUUUCACGAUUGGUGGAGAAAGGUUUUUAGUGCUGCGAGUGCAGCAUAUAAUGUUGGGUCUGAAUUCUCUAGUCAUUUUCCUGAUAAGAGAUACCAAGGUUCAAAAAGGCGCCCCCUCCUCCAUGCCUAGGCGCGACUAAGUGCUAGGCUAGGGGCUGCCCGCCUGGCCUAGGGGGGUAGGCGGUCAUCUAGGCGGGUGGAGCGCCUAGGCGGCAAUAAGCGACGCCUUGGCGUCGAUUCAGCGGCGCUCAGGUGCUCUAGGCGGCACGAAGGCGGGCGAGGUGGGAGAGGCUGACGCGAGCGGGUGCGAAAAAUUGACGCCGCGGGCGAGCGCGCGCGCAGCUGGCUUCGGGCGCGGGAAAAGAAGCGCAAACGGGAGAAGGAUGAGAGGGAGAAGGGGAAAACGCGGCUGCUUUGCGUCCCAAUCUCCAAGCUCACCUCCCUGAGACGCUGCGACCCCACCGGAAGCUGCAGCAGCAGCAGCAGCGCUCCUCCCAGCCGGGCAGGUGGUCUAGCACACGCUCCUCCCCGCCCGAAAGCUGGUCCUGCCGGCCGCACUCUUCCCUGCCUGGAAGCUGUUCCGGUCGACCUCACUCCUAGUAGAGCUCGUGGUCCAGCUGGUCACACUCAUCCCCGCCUGGAAGCUCCUCCUCGCCGGCCUCUUCAUCUCCCCACUGCUAGAAGCUCCUCCCCGGGCACGUCCUCAAGCCGCCCAGCCCCCUCCCUGUCGGGCUCCUCCCUAAGCUGAAGCCCCAAGGUAUGUCAUCCCCUGCUAUCCUCUGUUUCGUCCCCUGCUCUCCUCUGUUCCCUUCUCCUCUCCUCUAUUCCCUGCUGCUCUCUGCUCUCCUCUGUGGAAAAUGAAGUAUGCAGCAGGAAGCUUGUAGUUUCUAUUAUUCAGACCUCAAUGGGAGAUGGACUGACAGAAUGCAUUGCUCAGCCAGUUGUUUUUUCUAAUAAAAUAGAAGUAGAGGGCUCGCCAACUGUUGUUAGAUUUUCCAGUUUGGUCAUUCCCUGCUGCUCUCCUCUGUUUCCCUGUUCUGAACUCUGAAGUGGUCUGAAUCUAGGAUGUCGACAACAGAGGCCGAACCGGCAACAGGAAAUGAGGGAGUAUGCAACUGAAGUACCAGCCUUACACAAGAUGGCAACAAGGAUCCUCUCUUUGACAUCAAGUGCAUCUGGUUGGGAAAGAAAUUGGAGCGGGUUUGAAGCAGUAAGUAGCUAUCUGCUGUCAGCAUUUCAGAAGUUUUUCAAUUAAAUUGCAGAACAUGUUCUUAUUUAGUUAUUUUUAAUCUAUAGAUACACACUAAGAAGAGAAAUAGGCUUACUACAUUCAGUUCAACUCCAAGCUGCUUAAAAAGCUCAAGGAUUUUUGCAUGAGAAUGGAGAUGAUUGUGCAUUAUAGUGGUCUAUAGAGAUGAGGAGGAAGAAGUUGGAAAUUACAUGAAAAGGAUAACAAUCAUGAAAUACAUGCAUGGAGAUUAACACCCCUGGAUCAAUAAGAGGCACAUUAUGGUCGUCAGAUCAGUAUGAAUCAAGGAAAAGAACUGCAAGUCUUAAUAACGGAAAUUAGGAUAUGAAAAACAGAACCUGUGGUGCUUUGCCUCGCUGCCUGUAUGAUUUGUCUUGCACUAUAGACGAAGAAUAGAGAACAAGAAUUUCUAAUAAUGAAAAUUAGUAUAUGAAAAAGUAGAACAUGCAUAAUUUGGUUUGAUUACCGUCUGUGCUAAAAUGUUAAAAUACUGUAUAUUAUUGUUAAGAGAUGAUGCCAAGGGUAUUAGUCAUACUAUCACUAUUCAUCCCUUUUAGCAGUUGUAUCAAUAUUAGCAGCAGCAGCAGUAGUUUCUGUCAUCUUACAAGUAAAAUCUAGAAGCUGAAGUAUUAUUAGAUGCAAAAAGCAUUAGUUGCACAUCAAACAUUGAGAAAUGAAAUUACUAUCCAAAAAAGGCAGUAUUAAUGUUAGUGCAAUGAGACAUCCAUACUUGCCAAUAGCAGUAGUAGUAUUUAGUGGUACUACCUUGGCAGUGUCAUUAGUAGUAGUAGCAGACUAGCAGUAGAAUUAGCAGCAGUCUGUUUUUUUCCUAGCAGUAUUGCUUUCGUGUAAGUUUACCAUUAGUACUAAAAAUGUGGACUGAUAGGAAAAAGGAUUUUAAAAGCAUAUUAACUUGAGCAAUCUAGAACUAUAAAGUACCCGUGUUGAGCAUAAACUCUGCUUGUCACUCUGUCUCACCAAACUGAAUGCUUGUAAUUUAUUUUUCCCUCUUGGCAGCCCUAACGGAUAAAAGGAAGUUUCUUUUGGCUGCUCGAAGGUUCAGACAAGGAGCACCCAAGAACCAGUUCAUAUGUUGCAAAGUUGAGGUAAGGUCUAAUAAUUCCAGAACCUUAUUUUCCAAUUUGAUUACCUGAUUUGUUUGUUGUGCAUGCUCACGAGUUUAAGUGUUCAUCUUUUGAAUAUAUGUUAGGUGAGUUCUAUAUUAUGGGCAUAAAACUGUAAUUUGUGUCAUGUGACUUACUCCAUUACUUCUAUCAUUGUUUAAACACUUUAGUAAAUUAAUCCACCAUCUUUUUAUUUCUGGUAGUUCAUAUGCAUUGCCAUAUUCUGUGAUUGAAUCAGCUGAUGAGAAAAUUGCUUGUGUGAGGCGCAGCUAGAACAGAUUUGUGUGGUAUCUGUAUUCAGCUAGCAGUGGCUGAAAUCCUGUUUAUUCGUAGGUUGAGGUUCUGUUCCAGUUACAUUGGUGGAUUGUGUCCUUGUUUUUCAAGCCAGUCAGUCAACUGUUACAUAGACUUAUUUGCCAUAUCCAGUGACAAUGGAGUAUCAACCUCAUUCCUCAAUUCCUUCCUAGAGUUGCCUCUCUGGUUAAAAGGGCCAUAAUAGCGUGGUUCCGACUUUUAGGUUGUAGUUUGAUCUGUUUUAGGCUACAUAUUUUCCUUCCUUUUGAGACCGGAAAAUCUAAUGUACUUAGUGCUUUGCUUAUUCUUUAAAGUUUAAAGGUCCAAAUAUCAUAUGGUGAAAAAUAGCAGCGAGCCAGGCAGUCUAGCGACCGCAUAGCCCAUGUCCUUGGUGGCCGAGCACCAUGGGCCGAACAAUAGGUCAGGAGCCAUGCGUCAAUUUUUAUAAUUAUUGACUUUUUACCUCUUCUUUUUUUCCAGGUCCAUGGUCUGUGGGACAAGGUAAAGGAAAGAAGUCUUCUGGACAAGAGUGGAUUUUGGUUAUUUUCAUCCUAUUUUUUUUACUGAGGUAUAAUGUUUUACUUUUCCUAUGGUCUUUUCUUUGAAUACAUACCUCUCUAAUUGAGGAAGUUUGUAAUUGGAUAGUUCAAAGUUUUAGAAAUUCAUAUUGUAAAGUUUUGUACCUAGCACUACAAAGUUUUUUGUAUAUAAUAUAGUGUGUUAGUUCAAAGUUCUUUUGACACAUGACUACAAAGUCUAUAAUAUCAUAGUCCAGAGUUUUUUUCACUAAUUUUUGUGUGUAAAGUUUUAAAGAUCGGGCUACAAAGUUUAUAAUGUCAUUGUGCAAAGUUUAAAACUAGAGCAGUACAGAGUUUUUGUAAUGGUCAUAAAUUUAAUGUUUUAUAUUCUUUGAGUGUAAAGUAUUCAACCUACCACUACAAAGUAAAGUUUCUAAUUUCAUAUUUCAAAGUUUUGAAACUAGUGAUAGAAAGUUGUAGCGUGAUAGUUCAAAAUUCAUAAAUUCUUAAUUUAAAGUUUUUAUACUAGGAUUGUAAAGUUUACAAUGUGAUAGUUUAAAGUUUUAUACCUAGGGUUACAAAGUUUGUUAUUGGACAGUUCAAAGUUUUAUAAAUUCAGAUUGUAAAAAUUUGUAGCUAGCAAUAGAAACUUAUUUUAAUUUAGUGUGUUAAUUUAAAGUUUUUUGAUCUAGGACAAAGUCUGUAGUAUCAUAGUCCAAAUGUUUUUUUACUACUUUUUGUGGGAAAAGUUUUGAAGCUUGGGCUACAUAGUUUACAAUGUCUUAGUACAAAGUUUGAAAAUAGAAAAGUACAAAUUUUCUAAUUUCAUAAAUUUAAAGUUUAUGUUUCUGAGUAAAAGUUUCUUAACCUAGCAUUAUAAAGUUUAUAAUUUCAUAGUUUAAAGUUUCGAACCCUAUCGAUAGAGAGAAAAUUGUAAUGUGGUACUUCGAAGUUUUAUAAAUACUUUGUUUAAAGUUCUUUAACAUAGGAUUUAUAAAUUUUUUAAUGUGAUAGUUUAAAGUUUAUAACGUAGCAGUUCAAAGUUUAUUUUUGGAUAAUUCAAAGUUUUAUAAAUUCAGGGUGUAAAGUUUUGUAGCUAGCACUAGAGAAGUUUUGCAGUGUCAUAGUUUUGUACCUAGCACUACAUUUUUUUGACUUACCUGCAUUUUUUUUCCAGGCUUGUGGUUUAGCUUCGUUUGCAGGAAUUUGUUAUAGACUUAACGUGGUUUUUGCAACAAUGGAGAAGAAGGUAUGAUGUACUAUUUUUUGAAUUUCCUUUUUUCAUCACACAUUUGUAUGCAUUUUUUCUGAUAGUGCAAAAGUCAUGAGUAUGUAUAGGUAGAUUUUAAAUGUUAGGCAUUCAAAGCUUCUCCUACGCUUCAAAGUCAUGAGUCAUGGGUAUGUAUACAGUUUUUAUAAGCUUGUUGUUCCUUUUUUUGCCAGAGUUUUAGUACCAGCAUCAAGUUUGGGAAGUAUAGAACUUUUCUGAAGAAUCUGACUGAGGAGCAAAAAGCUAUUGUCAAGUCAUGCGGGUUUGGCAGUCUUUUGCAUUUUGAUUGUACAGAAGCGCCAAGAUCAGUGGCUUACUUGCUUGCAAAAUGUUUUGAUGUUGCCACAAGAACAGUUAAAUUGCAGAAUGGUUCGAGUUUUGAACUGAAUGCUUUUGUAGUACACCAGGUUCUAGGAGUCCCUCUUGGCGGACGAAGAAUCCGAGACUCUGCUUCAAAGACAGAGAAAGAGAUUAUUGCAAAUGACACGGGAACAAGCACCAUUGCUCUUACAAUUGAGCAGCUAAUCAACUUGGUCACAAGGGACCUGACUGGAGAUAAGUUUGCCCGUAUUUUUAUGCUGAUAUCACUAGCCAUUUUCCUUUGUCCUACAAGCUAUGGGAGUGCCAGUAAACAUUACUACUCAGCGAUUGCUUUUGUCAUGGACAUACCCAAGUAUGACUGGUGUUCCUUCAUUCUGGAUUGGUUAGUUGAUGGUAUAGUGAAAUUCUAGAAUUCAACAGUUAAAGUAAAUACUGUUGGUAAACACAUUACCCCUUCACUUUGUGGUUGUUUUUUUGUCCUUGUGGUGGGUGAUUUCUCUGUAUCCUAAUUAAAUAUCUUGAGCCUUUUUUACUUUUUUUUUUCAUUCUCAUGCCUGAACAUUUCACAUGCAUAUAUAGGUAACAUAUUUUGAAUACAUCAAGGCACCACAUAUUGUGUUACGUGAAGAUUUCCCACGUAUUAAAAUAUGGGAUGAUUGCAUGAUUCAAGAGUAUUUGUCAUUGGAAGGAAACAGUGGACAUGGUACAUCAUUUGGAUUGCUCGAGGUUUGACUUUUAUAUGCUUUCUAUAAUGAUUUUUCCUUUUUUUGUUGCCUACUUUUUAUUUUUCAUUUUCACUACUUUGGCAUGAUAAUGUUUUUUAUUUGUAACUUUUGUGUGGUGUCUCAUCUUCUGCUCUUUGUUUUCCCACACCUCACUCUUUUAAGCCUAGUGUGGAGUAGUAUAUGAUGAUUAAUUCAUUGUGCAAUUGCUCUCUUUUUGGGUUAAAACAUUUUUUCCCACCAUGCUGGCACUUUGCCCAAUCAUCAAAAAAGAAUGGAUGAGUAUGCUUGACUGGAACAAACUAAAAUCUGAAAUACAAAUUUGUGGACUCCAUAAUACUUCCUUGGUCACAUUGAAGGAUAUAACACAUAAUUUUAUAAUAGCUUCAUCUUUCUCAUUAUGAGUACAACUAACUAGUAGAAACUGCGCGCCCCUGUGCGCGAGCGUAAGUCAUUAGGUUACACAUGUUGCAUAUACUGUUGGGAGCUGAACUGCGCAUUAGUUACUAAAACUACAAUAGAAACUAUUUUUUCUAGACCCAAGGCAUUCACCCAGCUUUAUAGAAAGCGUAUCAAACGCGAAAAGGUCAGGUAACUGGGAUUACCAGUUUUACAUAUAAGCACCUGAAAGAGAACAACUCUAGCUACCACUUGGAAAACAACUCGACUAACUGAAACUCGAACGAACGCCCCUGCAACGUUCCAACAGAGAAAGAAAACACUAGCAAUUUAGAGAUACGCUAAGAAAACAAAGAAAAGCUAAGAAAGCGUUUAAUGCGCAUUCGCCGACAUUAGAUUGAUCUUGUCAUCGGUCAUGGCACUGAAUUUCGGCUUCAUCAGAGGUCGCCAAGUCUUGAUCAGCAUCACAGUUUUGUAAACCACCACCAUUGGAGUUGAAAUCACUUUCUUGUUGAAGACCAGAUCAUUGCAAGCCUUCCAAAUAGUCCACAUAGCUCCUGCAUAUAUGAAUAGAAGGACUUUUUGAAUUUUUCUUCUACGAUUGUCAACAAACUCUAAUAAGAAUUCCUCGCAGCUUGUUGGUGAUUUUGACCAGCCAAAAGUAUAGCGCAGGAAAGACAACAGGAACACAGCAAUAGGACAUUGAAAUAUAAUAUGAUCAGAAGUUUCAAUUUUGUCACAAGUUGAGCAUGUUUCUGACCCAGACCAUUUCUUUUUCUUCAGUUGCACUGCCGACUGUAUUCUAUCAUGUGCCAACAUCCAAAUAAAAAUUUUAACUUUCAAAGGAAUGUCACAACCCCACACUGUCAUCAUGCGAAUAUCUCUAACACCCCCAGUUGUUAAAUUCUUGUACAGAGAUCUAACCGUGAAAUUUUUUGAUUUCUCUAAUGCCGAGUGAACCCGAUCUCUAUCAUCAGUCAAAGUAAUCCCCUCCAACAAAGACUGCAAUCUGCACCAUUCCUCAAUUUGUAAUUCAUUAAGUUGUCUUCUAAACUGUAUGUCCCACUGACCGUUGUCAAAGACCUUAGCUACCUCAAUAUUUGUAUUUGAAGAAAUUUGAUAGAGACUAUGAAACUGAAUUUUCAGCGGACACUCCCCCAACCAGCAAUCGUGCCUAAAUCUGGUCUAUCUGCCACUUGCCACCUCAAUCACCCUUCCUCUUUCAUACCACUGACGGAUGUCUAGCAAGGACUUCCAGAAUUGAGACCCAUGUUUAUUUUUGAUCUGAAAAAUGCUCUUCUGACCCCAGAUAUUUUUUGUUCAGUAAAGUGCAGCACAAACCAUUAUCAUCUCUUUCUAUACAAUAGAAACUAUUGAAACUGCAUAGGUGGACCAUGGAAUACAUAAUCACAAAGUUACACAUGUGCUGCUUUUUGUUUCGCUAAAAUAGAUGGUGUCAGCUAUUUUAUAUUAUGAAUCACAUAGUAUCCUAUAUUUUUUUUGUCUUUUGGAAAUCAUAUAGUAUCUAAUUUUGUGUUUUUUUUUUACUUUUUUGUUUUAACAGCUUAAGGAACCAAGUGAGACUCCAUUUGCAGUUGUUUCAGUAUCUUCUUCCAGCUUUGCAAGAUUGCCUGCACAAGUUGAAAGCUUCAUACAGAACUUGUCACCACAUAAUGAUCGGUCCAAUGCAAUGACUCCAUAUUAAAAUUCUUUUUUUCUACAUACAAGCAAUUUUGACUCCUCUGUUUUUUCUCAUUUGCUGCUUACACUUGAUGAAUAGGUUAGGAGUCAAAUAAGGGACAUGUGUAGCGAAUUUCACAGAGAAAUCAUGACAGCAUCCUUUGCUGCCAUGCAACAUGUUGUUUCCAGGUAGCUAUGUUCCAUGGCUGAAUACAUGUGGAAUGGUUUACAAAAUCACAGUGCUCCUAGUACAGCUGCUGCUACUGGUACAAAUGUGCAGAUGCACAAACAUGGUGAUGUUGGGACAUCUAUCCAGAUUUGUAGAGAGAUGCAUACAGAAGUUGCUGGAGGGAUGAAUACUCGUAGUAGAGGGAAGAAUAAGGAAUCUGAAGUGGAUGCUGUCAUGUCAAGUGAAACCAGGAAGAAUAAAAGUAGAGAAAUGAGUGCUAGUCAGACCAGAAAGAGCAGAAGCAAAACCAAAGAAGUUCCUAAGCCCAAUAAAAUUCCUGAAGAGGCUGAAAGGGACACCACAAAGCACAGAGGCAACACUAAGAAAUAUCCCAUGUUAAAUGAAAUACCUAUAGAGAGUAAAAGGGACACAGAAUUGGACACUAGCCAAUAGAAAAAUGCAGGGGGAGGUGAUGAUUCUGGUGCUCAUCAGUUUGCAAUCCCACAAAACAAUCCCAAUAAUUUUGUAAAACUAGUCCCGCGAGAAGACCAGUGUGCUACCAACAAUGCACAUAGCAAUAAGGAGGGUAUAGCCAAUGAUGUCAAUGAAAAAGUAGCCACACAAGAAGAUGAGGGUGCUACCAAAACUGGAGGCUUGAGAAGUACUAGCGAUUCCACAUCACUUGUAACUAUUAACUGUGCUCAGCCUUAUACAUAUACAACCCCCAAGUCCGUAAGUGUUGCCAGCACCAAUAUAAACUUGAGCAAAGGAAAUCAUCAAUCUGGUGCUGGUAAGCAACUUAUACUUAAGCUAUAGGUUAUUCAUUUUCCUUUUUUUGCAUUUUUUCUUGUUGGUGGCCACUCAUCUGAUUCUUUUGUUUUAUUUUUUUUUUAAAUUUGUCAUGUAGCAAUAGGUGCUACACCACAUAUGGUUGAUGAGGUUGUACCUAAUUCAUUUGAAGGUGCACCAACUCACCACAAGAAACAGAAAAGACAAAUGGGUAUUGUCACUAACAUAGUACAGGAGAUCGAGAUUGGUUCAGAUAGCAAUGAGUCUACUAAGGUGAAAAUAAGGCAGAAAAGAUUCAUUGAUUGCGAAAAAAAUGCUAAUCUGGUCUUGCGUAAGACUUGUACCAGGAAGCCAGCCCCUCUGAUUGUAGAUGGUGCAGAUUCCAAGAUUAAAGAAUUAGGAAACAUUGCACUAGGUGACAACUCUCCAAGAAAGGAGCAAGAAAAAUGCAGGUUCAUCAGUGAUGUGGAUGAAGAGGUUGAUGCACGCUUGCCAAUUCAUUCUAGCUGUUGGGUAUUCUUAACAUCAUUACCAAAAGUAGACUAAGUUCUCUAAAUCUAGCAACGGUGCCAAAAAUGCCAAACCUAUCCCUCACACCACUUAAGCCAAGUUGUCAUCCCCAGCAUGACAUGAGAGACGCGGUAUUGAAAUCUGCAAUUGCUCUUCUAAAUAAAUAAUGAAUGGGAUCUGCAAGCGCACAGAUUAAUACCGAUGUAGCAUUUUAACCGGGAAGUAUUCCAGGUAUCGUUAUUUAUAUUUUUACCACUGGGAAGGGAUUAGCAAUCAUCAAUAUUGAUUACAGAAUAGAAUAUGAGAUUGAGCAUCUAUCAUUGCAUGUAUAAUUGAGAACAUUAUAUCUAACUCUUCAUACAGGGAUAAGUGUCACAUAAAGGAUAUAUGAAAUAAUAAUAGUGACAAGGAUAACUAAUCUGAUCUAGCCACAUAAUAAAUAUGAUAAGCACCUCAAUUAGAUACUCUAGAAAGUCAUUAGCAUGGUAUUAGAACGAACUACAAGAAUAUUCCCUAAGUUAUUCUCAACUAUAUAGUCUAGCAUAUCAUAGUUAGUGCAAGCAUACUUAGCAAUCAUUGCGAGACAAGACUACGCCCAUGCAUAGUGAUAUUAGCAAGGAAUAUGAGAAACAUAGCAAUCACUCCCCUGUAAUAAUGUUGCUCUGCCAGCCCAAUACACGAGAGGGGGACUAUAUAAGAAUCAAUGAAGCUGUCACUAUCACGAACCACCCCACGAUCUGGCAUAUUGGGUACAAUCGCAGAUAAAUACGGUAUAAGCACCACGCCUACACAAUAUCUAUCAUUUACUCAUGGAUCCGAUGGAUAAACGCUAUACGAUCCUAAGAAUGUAUAUAGAUCGAAUCUAACUAAGCCAAGUACAUAACUAUGAUAAACUAAGAACAAUAUAAUCUUGAAUAUAAGCAAGUAGAGCAAAGUCAUAAGCAAUAUAUUGAAAUAGAACAAAGUCAUAUUCAUAAUAUUGAAGAACAAAGAUAAUUAGAAAGCAAUUAGAAGCACAAUUAGAGAAUUACCAAGAAUCCUCCUGACAGAUCCGGAAACCAAUCGAAGAUUGACUCCUUCUAGUUCUAAUCCUAUGUAGCUAUGCUAAUCUAGAUAUCUAAUUGAUGUGGUGGCUCUAAUCUUGAUCAGAGGCUUCUUCUCCCUUGAUGGAACAAUGAAUUAGGGUUGAGAGGCUCUCUCCUCUAGGGGCCAGGGGGUCUGGUUUUAUAGUCCCUUCAAGUGAAUAUGGGCCCUUGGAUCAAACCGACAUAGAUUGUAUGGUUUAGAUUCAUCCUUUAGGUCGGUGGAGAUCUCCCGCGAAGCAGAGUCCUGAUUGGACUCCAAUAGGGGGCGGGCGCCCAGUAGGACAGGGCGGGCGCCCUGUCUCUGGCCCCGUUUCGCCUCCGCUUCGGUCUCAUGGCUUUUGGAGUCUUCUAGAUGUAAGAUAAUUGCGCAGCACGUUAAUACCUUUACGUAAUCCUGUCAUGUGGGCCUUUCUUCCAUAUUUCCUGAUAACCCCCUGCAGAAAUAGACAAACACCAAAACUCGUGGAAUUCUGUCAGAUAAAACCCUAAGUCUAGAUCUUGAUUUCAUUUGGAUCCUUUUCUUUAUUUAUUUGAUAAUUAAAUUUGAUACUUAAGGACCGUCAACAAACUCCCCCAAGCUUACCUCUUGCUCGUCCCUGAGCAAGGAUAGACUCAGCUAUGGAUCAUAAGUUGUUACAAUAUUUUUAAAAAAUUGACGGUACACAUGCCCUUUUUUUUUAAAUAAGAUCUCAUCUCUGAGUUAGAGUAAACUGUCAAGACUUAAAACUUACUUACUUUACCUUCACCAUGGGACUUGUAACUGUCACUUCUGUCUUGAGUGGUUAAAAGAUAGAACAGUCUAGCCAAGUGUCAUGUCUCUUAUUCUUGAUCAGCUAUAGCUCUGGGGUUUUUUACAGAUUUUCAAAUAAAACUCAGAAAUUCCUUGUAUGAUUCUCUCAGGUCUCUCUUUUGUGGUAUUUUUGGAUCCUUACCAAGGCAGUGAUGGUAUAUGCCUUCUCUCAAGAUAUGCGGUAUUUGUGGUAUGAGGCAUAGUGACAUUGCCCUCUCUCUCACCCUACUCUAAUAAGGCUUUAAUAUCUGGAGCUCAUAGGUGGGAGAUAAAGUAUACAUACUUACAAGACAUUUAUUGUAUAGUCAAACCAUGGAUCCAAAGAAACAAAUCAAUAAGCCAAAUCAAGAUGUUCAUGUGUGGCGAAUGAAUGAUGUAUGGUGAUGAUGGCGAUAACAAUGGUGGAAACAAUGGUGGUCGAAGUCUAAUUCUACUUUUGCUCUUUUGAUGGGAUACAUACCUUCCUUGCUUUUUGAAACUUUAUGAGGAGAAUGAGAUGCUCUUCUUUUUCUUUUCUCUCAGGUGGGUAUCCUGUACCCCUAAUUCUACUGUCGGACACUUGUCCAUUUUUACCUCUCGUCUCACUCUUUUUCUUUUCUUUCGAGGUUCCGGGCACUUGCCCCUUUUUAUUUCCUCGUUUAUUUUUUUUAUUUUCUUCUCUUCUUUUUUUUAGAGCACUCAUCUCUUGAGAUAAUAUAGCAAGUGGUAGUAACAAGAUAACUUGAGCAUUUAUUUCACAAGGGAAAAAUAGAAAUAUUUUUGGUUAUUCUCUCCCGAAUUAGGAGCAGAAUAUUUUUGGGUGAUUCUGGAGAUGGAAAUGGAUGGAUAUAUGUGGAUGGUACUUCCGGAGUAGAAGUAGCAUAUAUGAGUGAACGUGCAAGUGAAUCUUGAUUUAACCACAUGACAAGCUCCUAAGGGUCUACACAGCUUGACCACACUCAAUGCUCAUAAGCAGUAAAUAAUAAAUGUGUGGCUCAAAGUCUAGCAAGCAUGUAUAUAUGGCUGUGGUAGGAAUUUAAGCUCUCAUCAUACAGGAACUCAUCAUGCAACAUUUUAAAGAUUUUUAAAGAUAAAAUUCUCCAGAAUUCUAGCAUCUCUAGGAACAGAUAAACAACAGCUCAACCUUCCCAUAUCGUAUCCGUUAACAACUUAGACUUCAGAUCAAGUUUUCAUCCCACAAGUUUAGGUCUAGAGCAAGCUUUAAAUUAUAACAGUUAUAUCUAAACUUGAGAGAGAACUUAAAAUGUGCAAAUUAGGCAGAGCAACUAUUUAUCAUAUCCAUGCUUGAGUUUUAUUUAGAUACAGAUUAGCAUAGCCACUUUAUUUAUUUAUUAAACACACUAAGCAAAAGACAUAUAUAUAAGCAUAAAAUCUUUAUUUGGUUUUCCCAUAGUUUAUGUAUAUUUUAAUAUUCUAAAAUAAUAUAAGUAUAAAGAUAGAUAGAAAUACUUAUCGAGAUAAAUGGGGGUGCUCUCCCCCAAGCUGAAUUUUGACGUAAUUUCUUUUGAUGUAGCUAGCAGGUGGCAGAGGUGUAUUUGAAAGUCAGCAGCAUUCUGACAGCGAUUAGAAUGUCCUCCGUCUACUAGUCUUCUUGAUUCUUAAAUUCUGUGGAGCUCAAAUAGACAACAUAGCUUGUGGAACUGAUUAAGUGUUAGCAUAAAUAUCUAGCCUUUAUCAUGUUGAGACUCCUUAAUAAUUGUUACUCCCUGUUUUUAUAUUUUUGUUUUUAUAAAGCAGAAAAAAUAUUUAUUUUAUUUUUAUGCCACCACAGUGAAUGUACUUAUGGGUUUUGUGUCACUCGUCUACUCACAUGGGGCUUACUGUUUUUCACAUUUUUAUUUUCUUUUUAGGAUAGCACGAACAUAAUUAACUAAGUAAACUAUUUGAAAUAAUUGAAAGGGAAAGGGUAACUACCAAGUUUACCUCUUGGCAGGGCGUUCGGUGUUUUUAAGUCCUCCGAACGGGACUCUCCAAUUUCUUAAUCGUCCUGAGGUUCGUUGGGUGGCGAAGUCGGUACUUCCGGUAGCGCCUCCUCUUCAUGUAUAGUUAUCUUCAUUUUCCAUACCUGACUCGGUGCUUCAAUCUCCUCUGGAUUGUUUAAACUCUACGUCUUCUAACCUUACAACUUCUCCUUCAUAGUCUGCCCAUCCGUCCUUGAUGAUCUGCCUCCUCUGGUUGCGGUUGCGUCUCUUUCUGACCUGCUUAGAUUCUUCAAUGAUAUAGUUAGGGUCAGUAAAAUAACGGCGUACCUUCUCUGAGGGGAAGCGCAUAUGGACUUCUCCGGUUCCAAUGUAGAUAAUUGCUUUAACGGUGCUGAGGAACGGUCUUCCAAGGAUGAUGGGUGGAUCAUACUCAUCUUCUCCCAUGUCAACAACUUGAAAGUCUGUGUAGACAAAGUGAUCGUCUAUUUUGACUGGGACAUCAGAUACUAUUCCUUUGACUUCUCGAAAUGUCUGAUCUGCCAUCUGGAGCUGAAUGUAUGUUGGUCUUAGUGGCAUGGUUCCGAACAAGAGCCGAUAGGUGACUGCGGCCAUUAUGUUGACGCCUGAUCCGGUGUCGUAAAUUGUCUUGUAGAAGUUGUAUCCAUUUAUGGUGCAGUAAAUGCUUGGCAUUCCUGGGUCGUCCUUCUUGGUCAAAAACGGUGACUUAAGUUGGUGAUCUUGGCCUCCAUGGACUACAGUGACCAUCUUAGCUGACUCGGUCCACACUUGCUUGUUCCUGUUCCUCCUGUUGGUCCUCUUCCUUGAUUCACGUCUGGAUUGAUCUUGAAUUUGUGUAGUCUUGCUCUUGAAGAAAAAUGUCUCCUUCUCCCCUUUGACGUAGAAACUGAUCUUGGCAGCACUAGCGUAGAUGAUAGCUCCUGUGGUGUUCAAAAAUGGCCUCCCUAGAAUGAUAGGUGCUCUCUCAUCAUUUCCGGUCUCUGCCACUACGAAGUCUGCUGGGGCAUAUAAGGUACCAACUCGGACAUAAAGGUUCCU
rnacentral:lncRNA from 1 species